rnacentral:lncRNA from 1 species
CUUUUCUCUCUCUUCCCUUUGACUAGUCCAAGCUUAUCUUCUCUCUUCUCUCUCCUCUCUCUUCUUUCUUCCCCCUCACGACAGAACCAGCUUUUCUUCUCCUUCUUUUCUUCGCGUGCGAACCAGGAGCUCGGAGAUCGCAGCUCGCCGAGAACCGCUCGCCGCUCGUCCCGCCGCCGCACCGCCACCCGCACCCGUGCACCCGUCGCCGUCCCGCCGUCCGUCGCUCGCUGCCGCUCCUCCCUCCGCGCGAUCCAGCCAACCCAGUUGCUGUUCCGCACCGACUAGCCACCGUCCAGCCACCUCCGGCCACCGCCAAGCCCCGCCGGACCUCCCCCGCGACCCCCUCGCCUUCCGCCGGCCUUCCCUCGCCGUUUUGGCCGCCGGAUCUGCUCCGACCAGCCAAGGGCAGAAACCCACGAAAUGGGUUUCCAGCUGGUUCGGGCCCGUUUUGGGCCGUUUCCCAGCCCCGAACCCGAGCGGUGCUUUUGGAAGAAUCGUUCCUCGUGUCGCCGCCGUCGGAUUGAUCCAAUUUGUGCGCGAUUUGGUGAGUAAUCUCACUAAUCCUGGAUUAGUUGGCUAAUUAUGCUUAAGGUUGGUUUAGAUUUAAUUAAUUAUGUUUAGGUUGUUAGAUUAGAAUAAAUUAGUAAUUAUUAGUCAAUUGUGAUGCGAUUUAGAUAAAUUGAUUGUGCAAUUAACAAGUAGACGUGGUCUACUAAUUAUUGGAAGUGCCUCGGGAUUUUUCCCGACCCUUAGUGGGCUCCAAUUAGGCUUUUCGGGCCUAAGUGGAUAUUUUUAGUAUUUAAUUAUUAAUUUUCGGAAUUGCAUUAAAUAAUUAUUUAUUUUCCGAAAAUUCAACUGAGAUGGCUCGGGACCGGAAUAUUGUGCUGAUGACCGUGGUGAAUUCCGUUUAUUUAAUCGGGCUUUAUUUUGAGCUAAAUUGAAUUUUUAAUAUUAAUUAUUUAAUUUUCGAAAUUAAUUAAUAAAUUAAUUAUUUUUCAGAAAUUAAGAUUUUGAUGGCCGACGACCAAAAUCUCGUGUUGAUCAUCGUGGCGUAGUCCGUUUAUUUAUUUGAGCUCCACGUUGUAUGGAAUUGAAUAAAUUGUGAUAUUUUAGGGAUUUACCCUAAAUUGAUUGGAAUCGAUUGAGAUUGAAUUAUUGAUUGGUGAUUGACCAAGUAUGUUAUUCAGCAUUUAUAAUGCUUUGUUGAGUUGAUUUAAUUAAUUGAUUGAGAAAUCGUUGGGUAUUGGUUAUCACCUGAAAGGAAGCACGUGGGCUCGGUGAAUUGGAAUAUCACCUGGAAAAUGCACGUGAGAUUAGUGGUUGAUCAUAUUGAAUUGUUUAUGUUGGCUCUGUGAUCAUUGUAUCACCAUGGCGAAAAAGACGCCCGAGAGCAUAUUGAAUUGUUUAUGUUGGCUCUGUGAUCAGUGUAUCACCAUGGCGAAAAAGACGCCCGAGAGCAUAUUGAAUUGUUUACGUUGGCUCUGUGAUCAGUGUAUCACCUUGGCGAAAAAGACGCCCGAGAGCAUCGUAAAGUGUUCACUGUACGUCACCUUGGCGAAUCGACGCCCGAGAGCAUUGAUGGAGCUCUGUGACUAAGUGCAGGCAUCUAAAAGGGCACGUGGCUCGGUGACUUGAUGUAUCACCUUGGCGAAGAGGUCGCCUUAGAGAAUGCACGUGGGCCCAAGGUUCGAGGCACGUGACUCGGAGACUUGGAAGGUCAUCCUGGAGAAUACACGUGGCCUAGCUUUUAAAUAUCUCACAGUGGAGAGUGAUUUGUUUGACAUGUAAUCGACUAGGUCGAUGCUUUGAUUUGAUGUGAAUUGAUUGAUUGAAUGGGAAUGACCGUGAGUGGUCUUGUUGGAAUAUAAUCGACUAGGUCGAUUUGAUCGAUGCUUCGAUCGGUGAUAUGAUUGCUUGGGUGCCUAUUAUGAAUUGUACUGACUUGUAGGUAGGAUCUGAGGCCAAGGUAAGUCCUCUGCCUUGUGCGUGUUUAGGCAGCCUGUAGUAUAAUAGUUUACUAAUCGGGCUUAGUGGGGUAGAACUCGCUGAGACGUAGUCUCAUCCCAGUUUGGGGAAAACCAUUUCAGGACCCCGCUGAAGAGCUGAGAAGGAGGAAUCCGAGAAGGAGGACUCGGAGGCGAAUCUUAAGGAGAAAGAUUGUUGGAGGAAGAAGGCAAUCCUGAGAGGGGCCUUAAAUACGGCCUGGAUGGAUUGAGAUCCUAUCUUCUUUUGAGAUUUCUAUUUUAAUGUAAAUAGAGUUUAGAGUAAAAGUUGUGAAGUGCUUUGGUUUGUGCUUUGUAUAAAAGUUUGGUUAUAAGUUUCAAUAUGAAAAAUAUGGC